AAAAUGAAAUAUUUGUUAUUCAAGUAACGUCGUUUGAAAAUGAAAAAGAAAAACUGAAAAGGGGGGAUAAAGCAAGGCAACGACUGGGUUCACGUAAGCCAUUACAUAGCAACUUAGUUCCGUUUAAACAGCAAAUUAUUGUAAUAUACAGCUUUGAAGACGUCUGGCUCACGCGGUCCUUAAAACUUUUUAGACUUUUCGCAAUUUAUUGCGCCGGAAACUCACCGAACGGAACAAAGGUCAACUUUCAUAAAAGUGCGAUAAAUUUUAAUAAGUUAUUUCGCCAAGAUCAAGUCAAGGUCGCGUCGGAGGUCAAGUCAAGAUGACGUUCAAGAGACAUCGAAAGUGAAGACAAGAUGACGUCCAAAAUACGUGAAAGGUCUAAUCAAGGUCACGUCCAAGACACAUCGACGGUUAAGUCAAGAUCACUUCCAGGACACGUUAGAGGUCAAGUCAAGGCGAAGUUGAAGUGUCCAAGUAGAAGAUAGUCCAAGCAAAGUUGGUUGGCAAAAUUCAACAAUUUUGAGCGCAGAAAAAAAUGACAGUUUUCAAAGAUUCCUGAGUAAAAAAUGUCAAAUUUUGACAGGCCAGUGUCAUUGAAAAAUAUUAAUUGAGUGAGACACUUGUAUGAUUAUAAUAAUAAUAAAAUUUAAUAACAUAA